AGAGUUUGAUCAUGGCUCAGAUUGAACGCUGGCGGCAGGCUUAACACAUGCAAGUCGAGCGGUAGGAGAGCUUGCUCUCUACGAGCGGCGGACGGGUGAGUAAUGUCUGGGAAACUGCCUGAUGGAGGGGGAUAACUACUGGAAACGGUAGCUAAUACCGCAUAAUGUCGCAAGACCAAAGAGGUUCGUCUUGCCAUCAGAUGUGCCCAGAUGGGAUUAGCUAGUAGGUGGGGUAAUGGCUCACCUAGGCGACGAUCCCUAGCUGGUCUGAGAGGAUGACCAGCCACACUGGAACUGAGACACGGUCCAGACUCCUACGGGAGGCAGCAGUGGGGAAUAUUGCACAAUGGGCGCAAGCCUGAUGCAGCCAUGCCGCGUGUAUGAAGAAGGCCUUAGGGUUGUAAAGUACUUUCAGGCGGGAGGGAAGGCGUUGUUUAA
rnacentral:rRNA from 1 species